UACGGAGGGAGCAAGCGUUACUCGGAAUUACUGGGCGUAAAGGGCGCGUAGGCGAUUUUGUAAGUCUUGUGUGAAAGCCCAAAGCCUAACUUUGGAAGUGCACAAGAUACUGCGAGAAUUGAGUUCCGGAGAGGAAGAUGGAAUUCCCGGUGUAGCGGUGAAAUGCGUAGAUAUCUGGAGGAACACCGGUGGCGAAGGCGGCGUCCUGGACCAACACUGACACUGAUGAGCGAAAGCCAGGGGAGCAAACGGG
rnacentral:rRNA from 1 species